CAGUCGCCGCGGGAAUACGUAGGGGGCAAGCGUUAUCCGGAAUAACUGGGCGUAAAGGGUGCGCAGGUGGUUUAACAAGUUAGUGGUGAAAGGCAUAGGCUCAACCAAUGUAAGCCAUUAAAACUGUUUAACUUGAGUGCAGGAGAGGAAAGUGGAAUUCCUAGUGUAGCGGUGAAAUGCGUAGAUAUUAGGAGGAAUACCAGUGGCGAAGGCGACUUUCUGGACUGCAACUGACACUGAGGCACGAAAGCUAGGGGAGCAAAUGGGAUUAGAUACCCGAGUAGUCCCUGUCUCUUAUAAA
rnacentral:rRNA from 1 species